UGGGACGUAGCUCAGUGGUAGAGCGGCGGUCUCCAAAACCGCUUGCGGGAGUUCGAUUCUCCCCGUCCUGGC
rnacentral:tRNA from 1 species